AACGAACGCUGGCGGCAUGCCUAACACAUGCAAGUCGAACGAGACCUUCGAGUCUAGUGGCGCACGGGUGCGUAACGCGUGGGAACCUGCCCUUAGGUUCGGAAUAACUCCCCGAAAGGGGUGCUAAUACCGGAUAAUGUCUUCGGACCAAAGAUUUAUCGCCUUUGGAUGGGCCCGCGUUGGAUUAGCUAGUUGGUAGGGUAAAAGCCUACCAAGGCGACGAUCCAUAGCUGGUCUGAGAGGAUGAUCAGCCACACUGGGACUGAGACACGGCCCAGACUCCUACGGGAAGCAGCAGUGGGGAAUAUUGGACAAUGGGCGAAAGCCUGAUCCAGCAAUGCCGCGUGAGUGAUGAAGGCCUUAGGGUUGUAAAGCUCUUUUACCCGGGAUGAUAAUGACAGUACCGGGAGAAUAAGCUCCGGCUAACUCCGUG
rnacentral:rRNA from 1 species